GACGAACGCUGGCGGCGUGCCUAAUACAUGCAAGUCGAACGAGAAUUUUUUACACCGAGUGCUUGCACUCACCGUAAGAAAUUCGAGUGGCGGACGGGUGAGUAACACGUGGGUAACCUGCCCAAAAGAAGGGGAUAACAUUUGGAAACAAAUGCUAAUACCGUAUAACCAUGAUGACCGCAUGGUCAUUAUGUAAAAGGUGGUUUUGCUAUCGCUUUUGGAUGGACCCGCGGCGUAUUAACUAGUUGGUAGGGUAACGGCCUACCAAGGUGAUGAUACGUAGCCGAGUUGAGAGACUGAUCGGCCACAAUGGGACUGAGACACGGCCCAUACUCCUACGGGAGGCAGCAGUAGGGAAUCUGCCACAAUGGGCGCAAGCCUGAUGGAGCAACGCCGCGUGAAUGAAGAAGGUCUUCGGAUCGUAAAAUUCUGUUGUUAGAGAAGAAUAUGAGUAAUAGUAACUGAUUAUUCACUGACGGUAUCUAACCAGCAAGUCACGGCUAACUACGUGCCAGCCGCCGCAGUAA
rnacentral:rRNA from 1 species